GUUUUUUUCGCAAAGGAGAGUAAGUAAUAUACGCUACAACUUGUAACUUACAAGUGACGUGAUAAUUUUUUUCAUGUCAUCAAAUUGACGUGUUUUUGAAUCACUAAUUUGUUUUGGAGCUUCAUAGAAAUGUAACAUGCGUUAGGAGUGAUACCUGCAUCUGCAUAUCAUAUAGUAUAUACAAUAAUACAACAAAUUCUUUCGUCAAAAAGUAAAAAUUAAAAAGCAAAAUACAACAAUUUAUUAUUUAGCAAACAGUAUACCUAUGACGCAGAAUAAUAUAUUUUUUAUUAUUUAUAACUUUAUUUAAGAAAUAAAUAACUCAAUAAUCAACCAGUUGAGAGCUGAGGGAUUCUCCAACAGUGGGAGAUUGGAAGUAUCUAAUAAUUUUAGAAAAAAAAAUAGAAAAUAGGAGAGAAGGUAUUCAUAUAAUCUAUUAUAUUUAUAUUUCCAUGCCACUGUUUUGUUAAUUGAAGCUAUAACAAUAGAUUUAUCCGAAAUUAAUUAAUUUUGAACUGUAGAAAUGCCGUACAAAUUCAACUCGACAUCUCCAUUAAAUAUAGUCUCACUUUUUUUUUAUAGUAACUCCAUUGUUUUAUCCCUCAUUUCUUUCUCCUGCAACUUAAAAAUAGAACAAUUAAUUGGUUCAUAGCAUUCGAUUUGAUUGUCAAUUAUAAAGAAACAAAUUUCUGUAUAUAUCACAAGUUCGAUGUUCAUAGAUAUAUAUUAGUUUUUGGUUAACUUAAUACCAACUAGGGAUGUCAAAAUGAGUUAUAGCUCAUGAGUUGGCUCACCUCAAUUCGAUUUUUCAUGAGUAUGAGUUCUAUUUUUUAUGCUCAUUCAAUAAAUGAGUUUAAUGAUCGAGUUGAAAUUCGUUCACGAGUUAUAUAAACGGUUUUUAAUUAACACGAGCUAACUAAUGAGCUUGGUCAUUUUUAUAAUAUAUAUAUAUGACUUCUAUUUUUCUUAUGUAAGAAAAAUGGUUUACAUAUUAAUCAAAUUUAUCUUCUAAAAAUGUAAACCAAAAAGUUUUAAAUAUAUAUAAAAUGUAAAAAAAUAUUGAUAUCAAUCCUCAGAUCAAAUAUAUUUAGAACUAAAUGUAAUCAAAAUAUUUGUGAGACUCUCAUGCGAAAUAUAUAUCUUUAUGAUUUGAAUAGAUGAAGACUUUGAAUGAAUCAUCUUAAGACUCUUAUGUGGAAUGAAUUUUUGGAUCACUAAUUUAGCUUUUUUAUAAUUUAUUAUUAGGUUUUGGUUUUAUUCGGUAUAAAUAUUAAUGUUUUAGAUUUUAAUAUUUAAAUUUUAAAUUAUUUUAUGAAUAAAAAUUAUUCUAUAUUUAUUUAUAUUUUUUUAAUUUUUUUAUAUAUUUUGACUAUGAAUUAACUCAUUUAAUUCAUGAUCUAGAUGAUCUGAGUAAGAGUUUACAUAUGAAAGCUCAUAUAAUAAAUGAGCUGAUCUGAGAUAGCUCAUGAAAGAUCCGGGAUCAUUAUGAGCUGAUCUGAGUUGAUCAAACUAACUCAUUUUGAUACCCCUAAUACCAACCAGUAUUAAAAUUGCAAUAUAAAAACUUCCUUCAUUGUUUGACUAUCAUUAUAACACAGCGAUUAUUAGUAUUAACAACUAUUUUUCACCGAUCAAGCAAGCUAACAUUUGAAACUACAAUUUAUAAAAUCUCCAAAAAUAUACAUGAUAUUACUUGCAAUCAAUAUUAGUAUUUUUUUUAAAGAAAUUUUUACACUUACACAUACUUUUUCCUUCUUCCAUAUCACUUAGACAUACUUUCCUCAUGUCCAGUAUUUUAUUAAAUUCAAAUGACUCAACUACCCCUAAAACUACAAACUAGCUUAGUUACUUUUUUAACUCAUAUUUUCUUUUAUUUCAUUUCUUUUACUUUGCCCCACCAUAACCCACUAGCUCGUCUCUCUCCUUUUUAGAACUCUAAUAUGCUUCCGCCGCAACUCAAAAAUCAAACCUUUUCCACCGCCUAGUUAAUCUUAGAUCUGCGAUUCCUUCAUUCUCUUGUUGCGAGACAUGUAACUAAGAUGCAUCUUUCCUCCGUCUAGAUGAAGCCACAAACCACCCUUAAUUUGCUUCAAUCUUCAAGAAUCACCGGCGAAGAUAUCAUCUUAAGGCUACACUCCCCACCUUCCCGCCGUAACAGAACUCCUUCAUGACGUUUUGCUCCAACUCACUCAAUGUAAUGCCGGCUAAGCGAGACAUCUGCGUUUUGUAUACCACAAGAUCCCAGUUUCCUUGACAGAUCCAUUCACCUGCCAUGACCAUACAAUGCUCGUCCAUCUCUUGACCACAAGUAAUUAACCAUGCAAUGCUUGUCCAUCUCUUAACCACAAAAAACUUGCGAGACAUAUGUGUUUUGUCUACAACAAAAUCCCAGUUUCUUUCGUCUAGAUAGACCCAUUCACCUGCCAUGACCAUACAAUACUCGUCCAUUUCUUGACCACAAGUAAUUAAUGAGAGCUGUCCGAUUCUUUCCUAAAAUAUAUUCAUCUAACGGCUCACAAAUAAUACCUCUGUUUCAUGUACUACCAAUCUUUGACCAUUUAAUUGCAACCACCCAUGUAAUGACAAUUUCAAAGGAGGUUGCUUAACUCUUUUAGACUUAACCAAGGUUAGAAAGCUUGUCUACCAGAAGGGUUUUUUGGGGAGUGAAAAAGUUAAAGUAAGGGAAAAAGUACACCUCAUUCACAAAGCAUGUGAACAUGCAAGAAACAAUAAAAAAGUACCCUAAAACGUAAACGUCUCUGUUUUUAAUGACCCUUUGUGUACCAUAAUCUAUUGUUCCAUAGUCAUACCUUCCCUUGCUGAUGAUUUAAUUUAAAAUUUCCAAAUAUAAUAAAAAAAUAUCUUUCUAAAUAACAACUACUAUUUAAUUGUGAUUUAAUAUCCUUAUUUUUCUCUACAAGAAAUACGUAUCACUUAACCAAAAUAUUUAGAAACCAAAAUAUUUGCAAAUUAAAUCAUUUAUCAACAACAAUAUUUACAGAGAAUCAACAUAUAUUUUAAACAUUUUUGAUGUUUUGAGUAUUGUCUAGUUAUUUUAGAUAUUUACUUUUGACUAUUUGUAUAUAUUUUCAAGUAUUUUUGGAAAAUUUCAAAAUAUCUUUUAUAUUUUGAAAACUUUUUGAUAUAUUAAAUCUUAAAAUAAUUAAUAUAUUUAAAUAUAUAAAUAUGUUUCAGAUAUAUUCAGAUAUAUUCAGACACCCAAAAUAUUUUGAUUCAGAUCGGUUCGGUUCCGGUUCUUUAAAUACCAAAGUUUUGAACCAGUUCGGAUAUCAAACUAAUUUUGGUUUAGGUUCGGCACUAUAUGUUCUGAUUAGAAUCGGUUCGGUUCUUCGGAUUCAGAUUUUUUGUUGAGCCCUAUACUAGACAUAUAACUAUAUAAGCCCAAAAUUUAUUAAUCUAUCUAAAACACGAGUUAUUGAGUGAGUUCACAUGUUUAUUUAAGCUCAUUUUUAUUAUGUUGUUCGAUCAUUUAUCAUUCUAAAAUUAUAAACCAAAAAAAACAAUCUUACUAAAUCAUAAUUUAAUAGUGUACAUGAUUAUUAGUGUACAUGAUUAUUUUAAAUAUUAAAAACAUAAAAUAAAAUUUAUACAUAAUUACUAAUAAUUUAAAUUUUAUUAUACAUGCAAUUAUCAAAUUUAUUUAUAUAAAUUACUGAUACAAAUAAUAUUCAAAAAUGUAAUAUAUUAUAUAAUCUAGAACUCUUAUGGUAAAUGUUAAAGUAUAUAUCAUUAAUUUUGAAAACAAUAUUUACUUAUAAAAAGUAAAAUCAAAUACUCGUUUGAACGGAUCAAGCUUUAGUAAGUUCUUAAAUUGAACGUUGGAAAAUACUUAUACCAACCCUUUCCUCCACUCGGCAACAUCUAAUUAAUUUAGUUGUUUAAUUUUAAUUAAAAAAUUUAAUUGUUUAAUUAUAAUAUAUUAAAAUAAUAAUAUUUUGUUGUUAAAAACUUCCUUUUAAGAACCCAAACGUCAAUGUUGCUCUGAGAGUAGAAAGACUCCUAAAGCGUCCACGAUACCACAAAAUUCCAACCUCACCAAAUGCAUGAAAAGUCCAUAAAUGUGAGCCAAAGUUGAUCAGACAUUAAUUAGCUUUUGACAAUGAAAUCUAUUAAAUGUCUGAAAAUCAUGUUUACGGCGAAGGUUGAUAGAUUGGUUUUGCGUUGGCCGUUGAGUAUGCACUUGAGUUCGUUAGAUUUAUUUUUCAAUUUAUGCGCUUUAUAAUUUUUGUAAAACAUUAUUUAGUAAAAUAUCAAAAUAAAAUAAAUAGAUUAUAUAUGUGUGUAUUGUGUGAAAACUCAGUUUAAAAUCUAAACACCAAAAAAAAUAUUAUGCAUAAAACUGCAAAUGGAAAAAUUGACAAAAAGUAACAAUUUUUUUUUGUAAAUUUACGGUUUAAAUUUGAAAACUUAUUUUAAAAUUAUUGAGUUUUGUAAAUUAUUAAGAUGUGAAAAAAUUAUUUUUAAAGAAUUUUUGGCCAUCUCUAUAAUGUUAUUUGAAAAGUUACUUUAUUAGGUGAUGUGUUUUUUUUUGAAUUAUACAGAGAUAUUCUGGCCCCACAGAAGUGAUCAAGACUAGUCACGUGUUGCUACUUAAAUUAACUCAUGUACAU